AACCCGACUGGGGGAUGGCUCGGCUCGAGAGCCGAAGAAGGUCGUGACAAGCUGCGAUAAGUUGCGGGGAGAGGCAAGAAUCUCUUGGAUCCGCAAAUUGCUGAAUUGGACCUCCUGGCACUCUGUGCCAUUCCUCAAUGAGGAAAGGGAACCUCCUGAACUGAAGCAUCUCAGUAGGGAGAGGAAAAGAAAUCAAUCGAGAUUCCGUUAGUAGUGGCGAAUGAACACGGAAUAGGACAAACCGAAUCUCUAUGGGAAACCUUAGAGAAAUGUGGGGUAAGGAUCAUCUGUAGUCUAAGUGCAGGAAGUGGAAGUCGUCCUGGAACGGCGCACCACAGAGGGUGAAAGUCCCGUACACGUAUUGCAUAUGGCCAAGUGAUGAAUCCUGAGUAGCGUGCGUUGGAUAUCGCGCGUGAAUAUGGGAGGCAGAGACUUCCAAUCCUGAAUACUACUCGAGACCGAUAGUUGACAAGUAGCGUGAGCGAAAGCUGAAAAGUAUCCUUAGCGGGAUGUGAAAAGACCCUGAAACCAGUCGGGAACAAGCUGAAUAGGCGUGAAAGCGAAGAUAUGAGCAGCGUCUAUUCUUGCGUUUCGAAAAAUGCCCCUGGGAGUUCUGAUCAUUGGCGAGGUUAAGCAGUUGAACUGCGAAGCCGAAGGGAAACCGAAAGGUCCGCAGCCGCGUAAGCGGUCAGGGACUGGGUGCGCUCGCCCGGAGUCAAUGGUGGGAGACCUGAAGCCUAUCGAUCUAUGCCUGGCCAGUCUGAAGCCCGAUGAAAAUUGGGUGGAGGGACGAACCGUUGCUGAUGUGCAAAUCGCUCGGAAGAGUUGGGUAUAGGGGUGAAAGUCCAAUCGAGAUGGGCAAUAGCAGGUUCCGCGCGAGACUACUCGUAGGUAGACCUCCGUAGAGAUAGAAUGCGAGGUAGAGCACUGAUUGGGUGUUUAGGGGGAGCAAUCCCUCGGCACGCUGUCAAACUCCAAAGUUGCAUUCGUCGUAGAAGCGGGGAGUGAGCCACGGUGGGUAAGCUACCGUGACGAAAGGUGAAGAAACCAGCUCAGCGUUAAGGUCCCAAAAUUUCAGUUAAGUGUUAAUCACAAACGGCGUCCGUGGUCGAAGACAACCAGAAGGUGGGCUUAGAGGCAGCCAUCCUUGAAAGAGUUCGUAACAGAUCACUGGUCAAGCUUGCGGGCCCGAAAAAUGGACGGGACUCAAACUGAAUACCGAUACGCUGACCCUCCGAAAGGAGAUGGGGUAGCGCGGCGACAUGGUCGGGUAGAAGCUAGGUCGUGAGAUCUAGUGGACCGUCUAUGUAUGAGAAUCCAGGGAAGAGUAGCAGCAUAGUGCGGUGAGAAUCCGCACCACCGAAGGGGCCAGGGUUCCUCGGCAAUGUUCAUCAGCCGAGGGUUAGCCGGUCCUAAGGACAUUCUUAACCGAGAUGUUCGAAAGGGAAAUGCGUUAAUAUUCGUAUGCCCCUCUGCAAAUCUGGUAACGGCUCGGGCUAGUUCGUGCAUUCCUGUCAUGGGAUGUCGAAGCGUUCGAUAAUCGAUUGGAGAACCGUAAUGGUGAGAAGAUCGAGAAGGCGUGAGCAAAAGACGAAUGAGGCCAGGGCCCCGUGAAAAGCCGCAGAGGUGACCGUACCGAGAACUGACACAGGUGCCCCUGGGUGAGCAGCCUAAGGUGUGACGGGCAAAGUACCGCGAAGGAACUCGGCAAAAUAGCUCUGUAACUUCGGGAGAAGGAGUGCCAGCUUAGAGAUAAGCUGGUCGCAGUAACAAGGGGACUCCGACUGUUUAAUAAAAACAUAGCCGACUGCUAGUUCGAAAGGAUGUGUAUAGUCGGUGAAUCCUGCUCAGUGCCGGUAUCUGAAAUUGGGUUUCAACCUGACGAAGGACCGGUAAACAGCGGGGGUAACUAUGACCCUCUUAAGGUAGCGUAAUACCUUGUCGCUUAAUUGGCGACUUGCAUGAAUGGCACAACGAGAGUCCCACUGUCUCCGCGGUACGUCCGGCGAAAUUGACUAUUACUGGCGCACAGUCCAGUAACCUCAACCUGCAAGCGAAGACCCCGUAGAGCUUUACUGCAGCCUGGCGUUGUACAUUCGCACACUUUGUGCUGAGUAGACGGGAGAUGUUGAUCCUCGG
rnacentral:rRNA from 1 species